GUUUGAGUGUCACUGGGCCGGCUUGAUUGUAGGCCCCUGACUGCGGUCUAUGACCCGGGGCGCUGGGUCAGCUGAGUGGCGGUGUGAGCGUGCCGACCGCCGGGCCGGAGCGGCGGCCGGCAGUCUGGAGUUGGACCGGUGCCAAUAAAGGUCCGUGCUGAGCCUGGAUGUUACAAUUGGCGACGAGGUGAAUAUCGUGCUAUGGAAGAUGGCUGAAGGCUUCAGUUUAGCCCCAUUUAAUUUACGCGAAGAUGUGUGGGAAGAGUGGUUCGAGAGAUUUGAGUUUUACUUGGAUGCAAGAAAUGUGACUGACAAUGGCAAGAAGAAGUCCUACCUGCUUUCACAAUGCGAAGCGGCUUCCAGGGACGCCAGGAUCAUCGGAGGACAGGAGAGCACCGUCAACGAGAUCUCUGUGCCGGGUCGGGACGUGACGCCGGGUGGGAUCAAUGAAGUGCACGCCGGCCAACGCAGUCGCGAACCUACACUGGAGCCAAGAUUCCGGUCGUGGGUGAAUUCAUCGCGGACGUGAAGUACAACAACCAGGCGAGAUGGCUUCCACUGGUGGUGGUUGGAGGAGAUGGACCAAACCUCCUCGGGCGCGACUGGCUUGGGAACCUGAAGCUGGACUGGUUCAACAUCUUCUCGGUAUCGACGCCUGGGCUUCGGUGUCAACUCGGCGGUGGCGUUGUUUCAGCGAGAGAUGGAGAAGUUGUUGAAUGGUAUGCCUGGUGUCUGUGUUUUCCUAGAUGAUGUGCUCAUUACUGGGAAAUCCCAGAACGACUGCUUACAGCGCACAUCUGCGGUGUUGGAGAAGCUGCAAGAUGCCGGACUCCGUGUGUCGGAGAAGAAGUGCAAAUU